rnacentral:misc_RNA from 1 species
GGCCUUAGCGCUAUCGUGUUCCAGAUGACCAAGAUUAAAAGUGCUAAAUUCGAUUCGACUUAUUUGUCAGUUCUAGGUGUGGGAGCGCAUUUUAAUGUCUUGUUUCUGAUUCAAGGGAGAAUAUGGAGACUCAUGAAAACGAUACAGUGACUUCUCCUGGUACAGUGAACUCCUCUGACGGGCAGCUGAAUGGACCCAGCCCUAUACAUAAAACGAUCUAUACAAUAUUGUAUUCGAUAAUCAUAUUUGUGGCACUGGUCGGAAAUCUUCUUCUGAUCUUCAUCAUCAAAAGAAGACCAGAAACAAGGUCGCUGACUGGUUUCCUGUUUGUCAACAUGGCCGUCGCUGACCUUCUAGUGGCUCUGAUUACUAUGCCAGUCAGCCUGUACACGUUGUACACCGGUGGGGUAUGGGCAACGGGAAUUUUUGGGCAUGUCACGUGUUCGCUUGUGUUCUUCACGUUCCACGUCACACUCGAAGCGUCCAUAUUAAGUUUGUUGAUGAUGUCAGUGGAUCGUUACUUUGCAGUGGCCCAUCCUCUUCGCCGCUUUGAGACGUUUCGAAAGGCUAGAGUCCUUAGUGUGUUUAUCUGGUUGAAUGCAAUGAUUUUUUCCAUUCCAGUUGCUAUUGUUUGGCGGCUCGUUGAUUGGGAUGGCAGUUUGCUUUGUGGCCCAAAGUUUGAUGAGCUUGGCAAAUUUGGCUUGACAGGGUUCUACACGUACCUGUUUAUACUGAUGUACCUCGUUCCGCUUAUCAUUAUAACCAUCCUCUAUACUCUGAUCUGCUGCACGCUCUGGCGCCGAAGCAUGCCGGGUGAAGCGUCGUCGGAAACUGAGAAACGUAACGAGAUUACGAAGCGAAGAGUUGUGCGUAUGCUUGUCAUAAUCACCGCUGUGUUUGCUCUUUGUUGGUUCCCAGCUCAUUUUUAUCACAUGCUACUUGCAUAUCGUCUUGACGUCCAUAAGAAACUUCCUCAUUACAUAAUGACCCUUUGUUUCGCAUUGGGUCACGCAAACAGCGCGGUAAACCCAUGGCUCUACAUGAUGUUGAACGAAAAAUUCCGCAUCGCCCUAAGUGCUACGCUACACGGAAGGGGUCCAAGAAUGCGAGCCGGCUCAAACAGAAGCCAGUCCAUCACAAAGUACACUUCAAUCAAAGGCGGCAAUUCAUUUAAGACAAGACGAUCAAAGCAAGAAAAAUCUAAAGCUGAAACAUACAUGUGAAAUAAUAUGCACUUAAUCAAAGCUAGAGCUUUUCAGACUUCUUUAAGUAAAAUCUGCCAUCAAAUGUGCUGCUAUAGAAAGCGUGAUUUACAACAAUCAGUAAGAGAGCAGCAUGCGAUGGUGCCAGAAUCGUUCGAGUGCAAUCGAUGGCAAAUUGUUGUGAUUGUCCUUUGACCAAAUUCUCAAUCUUGGUCCACGAAAAGAGAGUUAAUUAGUACCUGAGAGACGGAGAGGAUCGGCCAAUGUUUCUGUAUCGAUCGUCCUUACAUGAAAACAGUUGCAAAAUUAUCUGGCGUCUCUUAUAAAAGAAUCAAGUGACUUAGUUUAAGUUGCAACGAUCUCUCCACCAUUCGUCACUCAAAGGUGUAAGCUAAGAUUGUAAAUUAGAAGGGGGCCCUGUUGAGUCCAAUUUUUUCCAGUGUUUUUUCUUUUUUUCAGGUAUGGUGACUUUUUUUACCUGUUAAGGUUGACUCAGUCCUCAGUAUUGCACUGCACAUCCUGUACUGCCUAUAAUAAAUUACGUGAUCACGCAAAUAAGUGCGCGCGCAUUUCGAGCCACACGGUAUUGUUCCUCAAUCAGUGGACCAGGUAAAGAGGUGCGAUAGUCCUUAGCUCUUAAACGAGCAACGUGACCCAUAUAUUUUAUUGCAUAGGUUUGGUGUGUAAAUUCUCCCCUUUGAAGCGAAUUUGAACAUUGUAUUGAAUUUGCGCUAUAUAAAUUAUUAUUAUUAUUAUUAUUAUUAUUAUUAUUAUCAUUCUUUUAAAUUGAAGAAAUUAAAAAAAUCAUCGCAAGAAAAAAAAAGGAUAUAUAUAUAUACCUAAAAGCGUUAACGAAGCUUUUUACCCACUGAUGCAACCUGGAACCUUCAAAGCAACUAGCCAAGGAACGCUUUGAGUCGAUGUCGUUUAAAUUUCGUAAUUUUUUCAAAAAAUUAUAUAUCUGUAAUUGUUCCAUAUGCUCAAUAACUUGUACCUAUCAAUAUUUUUCUAAUUGUUUCUUCAAAAGCCCUAGCUUCCAGCUACCACACGAUGUACCGUAAAACGAUGAAAUAACCCGCGUAAUAACUGCUAGUACUGGCAUGAAUGGAAAGAUCAUUGGAUUAGUUGACGCCUAACAGCUUGAACGACGAGAGCUCUUCUAUAACAGCGCCCCCGGAUUGUGAGAAACCAAAGUAGGAUUCGAUUCUUUCCACCAGAAUCACAUGGUCAAUGGUAUCAAAAGCCGCCGAUAGAUCAAGAAGGACUAAUACAACAUCUCGUCGGCGGUUAGUCGUUCUCAGAAAGUCGUUUGCCAAACGGAGCAAAGUUGUCUCCGUAGAAUGGUGUUUCCUAUACGCAGACUGCAUAGUGGGUAGCAAGUUGUAAGAUUCAAGAUAGUUGUAUGUUUGUGUUGCUGCUACCUUCUCAAUAACUUUGCUAAGAAAGGGAAUAUUAGCCAACGGACGACAGUUCUUAAAAAUCUCCUUGUCAAGAUUCCCGUUUUUCAAACAUGGACGAACAUGUGACAACUUCAAGGGUGAAGGAAACUCCCCUGUCGACAAUGACUGAUUGACCAUUAAAAAGUAUUUAUAAACAUA